CUGGAACUUUCCACCGGAAGUGACGCCAACUAUUCUAGUUUUUUCUACCCUGGACAUUAGCCUUAGCACGUCAAGCAGGUCUGUAAAUCUGCAGCUCUGUGAUCUACGGGUUAGUGGACCAGCAUCAGCAGUGUGCUGUCAGAACCAUGGAAGUGAAGCUGCUGGGAUUGAAGCUGUUUUGCUCUGAGAGAGACUGUGGGUGAAAAGGGAGGAAAAUUGCAUGGAAAUGCUUGCUUGUCGGAGAAUACCUGGAGGAAACCCAUGCAAGCUCCACUCAGAAAGGAUCUGAGUCCUGCACACUGUAGUUUGUCUUUGGGGAUAGAGCUGCUCAUAUCCGUCCAGUUGCAAUUCCAUGUUCGGGUAAAGAAACCCGAUGGGAGGUUAGACAUUCUUAAAGAUGAACUGAGAUAUCUGGCCAAGUGAGAUUUUCCAGAAUCCCCUGAGGGCACAGCACGGUACCUCCGCCACCCCCAGCGCUUCCAGACUGCAAGUCCCAAAUACCCAGGCGCAAAAUCGCUGGAUAAUGAAUUUAAUUGAUGUGUGUAUUUGACAGGGACAAUGCACAUCAAUGACAUUUAUUUAGUAUCAUCACAUGUAUGGAAUAAGCCUGCAUUUACUCAGAAUUGAAUGAACCUGGAGAGGGGAGAGGACUCACAAGCUGCUUGACACAGGGAAUAUCCUCAAAAAGAGAACAAUUGUCCUGAUGUUUGGAAAAAUGUUGGCAAAUAUUUUUUCUUGGCAGACAUCUUACCAAUUGUUCUCUUUUAGAGGAUGUUCCACUUUUUUUCAGAGUGGUAUGCAAGUCCCUUGGGUGUUCAUCACAUCUCUGUCUGUACAGUUAUUCAGAGGCCUGCGUCACAUUCAUAGCCAGCACACACACACACACACACACAGUACACACACUGAUAACAGACAUGGCUAAUAAAUAUCUUUCUGUUUAACCUAAA